GCGCUGCCCGCCCCCGCGCUACCUGCGCCGCCAGCCCCCGGCCGCCCUCCGCCGGUCACCCCCCAUCCCGGAGCCUCCGCUCCCCUCGGAUCGCCCUUCCCCGAUUUCCUCCGCCGCCGCCGUGCUUCCUUCCUCCUGGCUAAAAAUAAGGAGAAGUUUGAAAGCCCUCCCUUCCCUUCCCGCGGUGGGAACGAUGCUAUUGUGCCCCUUCACCCCCCUUUCUGUUUUUCUGUGUUUUGUUUUUUUUUCCCCUGAAAAAAGAAGUGGGGAUUGGGUCGUGCUGCUGCUGCUGUUGGGACAGGGUUUCCAAAGGGGUAAAAUGGGGUUAAAAAAAUGCUGCUUUGGGUCUGCGGCAUGAAGGGCUGCUUUCAAAGAAGCCCCUUCCUGCCUGGCCGUGCAGAGUUACAAGCAAGUUGCGCGCUCUCCUGCGCUCUUUGCACGUCUCGCUGUUGAUCGUGCAAGCAGAGCAGGCAAUAACCCUGCACAAAAUACAGCACGGGCCGAGUUUUAUUACCCCGGCUCGCACGGCCGGGGCUGCAGUUCCUGUUUGCUCCCAGUCCAUUCAGUUGUCGGGUUGUUUUUCUUUUUGCCUUUGUGUGUGUGUGCCAGCACACGCUGGAGUGUUGGCUAUAAACAAUGCAAGCAAAUGUCUGCACAGACUUUAAAAAAAAAAAAAAAAAAGGAAUGAAUUAAAAACACUUUUUAAGAGCUAAUAGUGCUGCUGGGAGUGCACACUGGUGGCACUGUCAAUGGGCACCGCGUGCCUGUGGGGUGGCCGGGAUGGAGGAGGGACGCGGCCAAGCUAGCGGCCAUGGGGCUGUGCUGUCCUAGGACGAAUGGGGGGUGGGCACACAAAAAAGAGCUGCAAUCAGCGCUUCUGGUGUCUCUCAGGGCCCUCAGGCGGGUGUUGGAAGGGGACCGCCAACCUCUGCCAGACUGAGGAUCCCUUUCCGCAGCUGUGGCCCAAAGGCUAAUAGACCUAAUUGGAUAUUCAAUGUGGCUAAAACUCUCAUGAUUUUAUCACGUGUCUUUAAUUAGCUCGCUUUCUUUCCCUCUCUCUUAUAUUGCUCAUGCAGCGUUCCUCGGAACAACCCCUGCCAUGCCGCCUUUCCCUCAGCGGGGCCGCGGCCGCCAUGUUCCGCUCCCCCAUGCUGGGGCUGCGGGGGAGAAGAUGGCGCCGCUGUAGGCAUUGUGGCCAACAUGGCCACAGGGCAUGAGGCGGUGGGGCAGAAAGGCAAGUAAGCUGGUGUGAUUUGGACCCCAGACUAGCUGAGGACCUCUGAGGAAUCCUGCACCUGGGCUAACUUCAGCUCCUAUAACUCCAGCCAUCAGCUGUGGCUACGCCAUCAGUUCUGUGUGAUGUAACACACAGGCUUUCCUCCCGAUUAACCAAAAGGACACAUCCUGCUGUAAUUAUCAUCCUUCAUUUAGCAUUUCGAGGCCACUCACAGAUUUCCGCAGAUACCGGCUGUCUCGGAGGCUCCACCACCGUACCCCUCCAGGCGGUACGAGCAGCACUGGCUGAUGUGGCAAAUUUUAAUUAGCCUCUGGACGGCAGCGGCUACACCAAGGAACAGGGAACAGGGCUGAGGCCGACCCACCGGGGCGAGGAAACCUUCCCAGGACCUCGCUUGUGGGAACUCGUGGGUGCCUGACUCCCUCCUCCCAGGACUGUGCCUGCGUGGGGAGCGGUGAGAAGAGUUCCCGGUGCUGAAGAGGAAAAGUGAUAAGGGUUAUCCAGUGGCGUGUGAGCCUGCCUUGUGAUCAGCAGCACAGCGAGCCAGCCCCAAGCAGCCUCCGGCACCCGUGCCCUGUGGGAAGGGGAAGGUUUGUCUCCCCCCUGCCUGCCAGGCUUGGCAGGGAAGAAACGUGAUUCUUCCUCACACAAUGAAGAGGGACUUCAGGGAUAAGACUCCUUCCUCUGCAGCUGCUACAUAAAAAAGCCUCACAGAGCAUUUCCAGUUUAAGGACGGGGCCGUGCUGCUCCCAAGAUGUGUUUUACAUUAAGUGAGCCUGGGAGAAGCAAGGUGGAGACAAGGAUCUCCGGGGCAGGGCCUCCCCACUCCCACCUGCGCGCUUCAGUCAUGCUCCAUCUUGUGCUGCUGUGAUGCAACCCGUGGUUCCAGCCUUGCUCCAAGCCCAGCCCAAAUCCAGCGACGUGAACCCACCCAGCUCCCCGUGGUUAGGCCACGCUCCUGUGGAGCGAGAGAAGCGGGUUCGAACCCACGAGGCUGAUAAAGGAAACUAAUUCCAAGGAAGCUAAGCUCUGUCCAUGGGGCUGAUGGAGGAAAUGCUCCUGCACCACGCUGCUGAGGAGCACCAGCAGGGCGGUCACACCGAGUGCUGCUCCCCUGGCUCCUGACAGGGCUUUCCGACAGCCUCUGCAUUACAAAACCCAGUGUGUAACACCAGGCUGUGGUUCAGUCCCGGAUAAAGCAGCUGCCUCCUGUCCCUAGCACAGGCACUGCAUGGGCAGCCAGGAACACUCCUGACCAUGUUGGAGCUGGAGUGCUGUCAGCCUUUGGCCAUCUCUCUGUCCUUUAUGACUGGGAGGAGGUGACCAUGACUGCUUUCUGUGACAAUGGUGCCACUUUCUGAUGAGGGAGCAGGGAAGGCCUGGGCUGCUCUGCCACGCAGGAAGCGCUGCAACACCCCCGGCUCCUUCUGCAGCAUCACUCUGAGCAUCUUUUGAGGUGGCAGGAUCUGGAUAUUUGCUAAGUUUUCCCAAAUCUCUAGCCCAGUUCUGGACUUUGAGGAACCAAGCACGUGCCUGACGGGAUCUGCUGUCCCUGAGAAGAACCAAGCUUCUCCAUUCCCAAGCCCAAAGGUGCUUGAGUGAGCAAUUUUCAGGCAUGGAUGGAGCCUGUGAGAGCUUCAACAUUAUUUACAAACACGGAGAAUACUCCAAGUUGAAACUCUUUGGGCAGCGUGACAUAGUGUGGCUGUAGCACACGCGUCCUGUCAUCAGCAUUGUCCACAACACUAUCAGAGCUCUGCAAGACGUGGACCUUUGUGUCAACAACGUGACAGCUGCAGGUUGGAGACCAGGACAGAGACAGCAAAGAUCAGAUACAAAUGCAGCAUUACGGCUCUGGGGUGACCUAACUGCAACCAUCAAGUGGAAGAUUAUUUAUCUGUGGAGUUGGCAUUGGGUUUUCUCCCCAGCUGCAUGACUUAGAUGUAGUCUGUGACUUUCAGUACCAGCCACAAGAUCUUAAAACUCUUUUGUGAUUUUUCUCUCAUUACUUCCCUGAAUGCCAUACAGUGGGAGCGGCCACCUCACUCCUUAAUCUUUUUCCUAGGUACUGGCAUGCUGAACAUCAGUUCUCGUGGCGUGAAACUGGUUGAGAGAUCAACCAACUCACCAGGCUGCUGCACAGCAGGCCAGGAGGAAAAAUGCCUGAUCCCCAGGCGAGGAGUGACUACAGCAGUGUCUCAGCGCCAUCAGCACCCUCAGGCACCUAGAGAUGAUGGCUGCAGAAGCUUCAAGGUUCCCUGGACUCCAGUGAAAAAGAGCAUGAGGGGAUCACAGUCAGCAAUGGAAGUAAUGGUAUUAUGGCUUCUGUGUCUGUAAUGGGACACUUAGGAGGGUUAAUGUCAUACCAAAAAUUGCACCUGCUGCCCUGCAGUUAGACUACUUCACUCCCACCUUAAGCCAAAAGUGGCCCUUUGAAAGAACAUCCUGGAGUAACAGAAGAGACUGGGUGCAACGAUGGCAAGAGCAGCCCCCACUCCCAGCCCUCUCCAAUGCUCGGGGACUCAUUGGGGUUUCAGCAGGGCAAAGGAACUGCUGCGAGGCUGUAGCCUUAAUUACCCACCGGUAAACAUUAGUAUGAUGAUGGUUUAGCUGCUCAGAGCUGGAAUCUGCAUGAUCUAAUACAGGGUUCUCAAAUAAUUCUCCUCAGAUCACUGAGUUGAAGCGGGUACCGUUUCAAAGCUGAGCUCCACAGACAGCAAACAAGAGGCGUAACUGAGAACAAAACGAAAUGCUGGUUUCCUGCACGAAAAACACAAGACCAGAUGUAUUUCACACAGUGUUAUUCACACAUUUUCAUUUUGAUUUUUUUACAGUAUAUACACGUGAGCAUUACAUUAUUCGAUAUGAGCCACCUGGAGUCAAAUCUAAUCAAACUGGUCCAUAAACAAUCUAUAUCAAAAAAGCAAUAUGAUAGCAAAAAGUCUAGUGGUUCUACCCAAAGCCUAAAAUAGUUGGAAGGAAAACCAGUGAUCAUGUUCCUGCAUAUAAUUUGUGCAAAAAAAAAAAAAAAAAAAAAAAAAGGUUUUAGGAUAGCAAGUGGAAGAUGUUCAAGGUACUGAAAACACUAGGGAUGAUGGCUAUAGGACUGUUUAAAUUCAACCAUGGCAUGAGUGCUACUUGGACACUACCAAUUUCUGCCUGGACAUUCCCAAAAGCCUAAUUUAAUGCCUCACGUUGGAGAGAAUGUCAGCUCUUCAGAUAAAAACAUACAACAUUUAUGCACAGGAAAAAAAUACUCAGGAGAAUUAACGUGUUCAAGAAAGGUCCUCAAAUGCCAUCCUUUGUGCGACUACAGGAAAGCCCUGGCUCCAAUGACAAGGCUUGUGCCUCUUGAAGGGAAUUUUGUGAACUGCCAUUCAAAAACUAUUUGGCAAUUAGAAAUGCGAUUACUAAAAAUAAUUAGGCCUACUACAUCACUUCAUGCAGGCGUUAAAUGACAGAUUCAGACACCAAAGGUAGGCCAGAAGAAACUUUCCCAUUUGCCUAUUGAUGAUUUAACGCUAGCAUAUAAAAAAAAGUAGCAACUCAGAUGUAUGCUUCAGUAAGACUUAUGUCAACCUGAUAUAAACAGUAACACAACAGAAUUCCUUACACAAGUUAAUACCACUACUAUUUUCUUUCCUCAUGAUCAGAGCCCUACCAUUACAGCCUUUUAUUUGCUCGAUGCUCGACACUGCUUUCAACCUAUCUUGGUGAUCACAGCUUCAGGUUAUGCCAUCCAAACGAAUGUUUUACACAAAAUACUUACUUCGACAACAUACAAAGCACUUCCUUUAUCUUUCAGAAACUGAAUAUACAAAGUAAGCUUUUUUUUUUUUUUUCCAAAAUAUUUCCAUAGGCAAAGGAUUAAAAAGGAUUUUAAUUAUACACAUAUGGUCACAACUCUGCCUUAAAAAGAUCAUUGGGAAAUGUACAUAAGGCCGCUUGUAAAUGUACAUCAUCUUUAUGUUACUGUUACAAUGUCAUAUGUCCAGAGAAAAAAAUUGACAGUAUCAUACAUAUUUGCUUUACGCUGGGAGAAGGCUAUUCAAAAAUACAGUACUCUUCUGUACAAAAAAAUCAUGCCACAUUUAUUAAGAUGGAAGAAGCAUUGGUUUCUGCGAUAACCAAGUAUUUCAGUCCAUUUCUUUCUUGCUAUGCUUAUUAUCCCAACUUAAAAUUUGAACAGAUCGAUUUCCCAAAGUGUCCAUAUUAACAGAAUCAACAGCUAUGUUAUAAACAAAACAUAAUGUUUCUCACAAUAGAUAAAAAGAAAGCCGGUUCAUAUUUCUGAAACCAUAUAAAGAUAGAAUUUAAAAAAAUCACUCUUGAUUUGCUGAAAUAAAUUUACAUUAUACAACACUAUAUGCCAGGGGGAGAAAAGGGAAGGGGGAUAUGAAUAUACACUAAAAUGCAAAUUUUUGUCCCAAAAAGGGUAAAACAAAUUACAUUUACAGCAUGAAGGUUUACAAAUGUACAUCUGUACAACCAAGGUAAGCAUCACUACUAAAUUAGCAAGGCUUGUAAUAAACAUCGAAACAAGAGAUUUGUUUUCAAACUGUAAACUUACACCUAUUAACUACACGUAUACAAUGCAUAUAUUUAUAGGAAGCAAAAAAGCUAUCUGGAUAUUUAAUCAAUCAUGCUUAAAUGUUGAGCUAUCAAGUUUACUUUUCAGUGGCCCCUUUUCUCUUCAUCAAUACCUAUUUUUUGCAUCUACAGU